rnacentral:rRNA from 1 species
GACGUAGGGCGCGAGCGUUGUCCGGAUUUAUUGGGCGUAAAGGGCGCGUAGGCGGCCAUGCGUGUCUUCCGUGAAAUCCCUCGGCUUAACCGAGGACGUGCGGAAGAAACUGCAAGGCUCGAGUCCGGGAAGAGGGGGGCGGAAUUCCCAGUGUAGCGGUGAAAUGCGUAGAUAUUGGGAGGAACACCAGUGGCGAAGGCGGUCCCCUGGGCCGGAACUGACGCUGAGGCGCGAAAGCGUGGGUAGCAAACGGG